AACUGCGUCGAGUUCGGUAACGGAAACGUCCGACGGCUUUACAUAUGGGGCCGAGCAACUCGUAACGCAGUUUU
rnacentral:ncRNA from 1 species